UACGUAGGGUGCAAGCGUUGUCCGGAAUUAUUAGGCGUAAAGAGCUCGUAGGCGGUCUGUCGCGUCUGCUGUGAAAACUCGGGGCUUAACCCCGGGCCUGCAGUGGGUACGGGCAGACUAGAGUGCGGUAGGGGAGACUGGAAUUCCUGGUGUAGCGGUGAAAUGCGCAGAUAUCAGGAGGAACACCGGUGGCGAAGGCGGGUCUCUGGGCCGUUACUGACGCUGAGGAGCGAAAGCGUGGGGAGCGAACAGG
rnacentral:rRNA from 1 species